UGAUAUAGGGUGAAUCUUGGCCCUCCGAAACAAAUCCAACGGCUGAGAUUCGUCCACGUUAUCAUGAGUAAAAAUUUUUACUCCCAGUAAAAUUUUUACUCCUGAGUAAAUCCUCGAGUAAAAUGUUUACUCGUGAUGACGUAGACAAAUAUCAGCCGUUGGAUUUGUUUUGGAGGGCCAAGAUUCACAUAUCA
rnacentral:pre_miRNA from 1 species